rnacentral:rRNA from 1 species
GAGUUUGAUCUUGGCUCAGAUUGAACGCUGGCGGCAGGCCUAACACAUGCAAGUCGAGCGGAUGAAGGGAGCUUGCUCCUGGAUUCAGCAGCGGACGGGUGAGUAAUGCCUAGGAAUCUGCCUGGUAGUGGGGGAUAACGUCCGGAAACGGGCGCUAAUACCGCAUACGUCCUGAGGGAGAAAGUGGGGGAUCUUCGGACCUCACGCUAUCAGACGAGCCUAGGUCGGAUUAGCUAGUUGGUGGGGUAAAGGCCUACCAAGGCGACGAUCCGUAACUGGUCUGAGAGGAUGAUCAGUCACACUGGAACUGAGACACGGUCCAGACUCCUACGGGAGGCAGCAGUGGGGAAUAUUGGACAAUGGGCGAAAGCCUGAUCCAGCCAUGCCGCGUGUGUGAAGAAGGUCUUCGGAUUGUAAAGCACUUUAGGUUGGGAGGAAGGGCAGUAAGUUAAUACCUUGCUGUUUUGACGUUACCAACAGAAUAAGCACCGGCUAACUUCGUGCCAGCAGCCGCCGU